GUAGGGAAUAUUGGGCAAUGGAGGCAACUCUGACCCAGCCAUGCCGCGUGAAGGAAGACGGUCCUAUGGAUUGUAAACUUCUUUUAUCAUAGAGUAACCGCAGGGACGUGUCCCUGCCUGCAAGUAUAUGAUGAAUAAGCAUCGGCUAACUCCGUGCCAGCAGCCGCGGUAAUACGGAGGAUGCAAGCGUUAUCCGGAUUUAUUGGGUUUAAAGGGUGCGCAGGCUGACCGGUAAGUCAGGGGUGAAACUUUACAGCUUAACUGUAAACGUGCCUGUGAUACUGCCGGACUAGAGUUUAAGAGACGUAAUUGGAAUGUGAUGUGUAGCGGUGAAAUGCUUAGAUAUAUCACAGAACGCCGAUCGUGAAGACAGAUUACGAACUUAAUACUGACGCUCAUGCACGAAAGCGUGGGGAUCAAACAGGAUUAGAUACCCUAGUAGUCC
rnacentral:rRNA from 1 species